ensembl:lncRNA
GAUUUAAGAGCUUGUAUAGAGACUGAUUUGUUUUACGUGCUUUGUCAUUCCGUUUGUAUACAUUUCAACCUCAUCAAACCCAAAUAUUGUGUUUGUUUUGUUGUAAAUUUACAGUUACAGGAAUAGGUUACUGUUUUUUCAAAUGUCUAUAGUACAAGAUAACUUUGACAAGACUAUAAUACAUGGUAAGAGCAUUUGUUAAACAUCAAUGCUGUACCAGGGGGAUGUAUCACUGUCGCCUGCGUCACUCACAUCAAUUUGUGCAUCCUUCCUUGUGUUGCAGGACUGGUGACCCUCUGUCAGGUCACUAUGGAGUUCCCACUCUGUCUGCUUGCUGUGUAUUUUCUUUGAAGAGGAGGAGAGGAGGAGGAGGAAAGGAGAUGAAAAGCCUGCUCCCAAGGGCAGGUCACUGGGUCCCUGGCCAUGUCCUGGUAGGGGGUGUUGGGAGUCUGUCCCCUAGCAGGUUCUGACCCUCAGCAUGACCUCGCAGGACCCAGUCAGUCGGGCCUGGUGAGCAGAGCCAGGAGCUGCAGAUCAGCUGAUCCGCAGCGACCUUGACGCACCGACGAACCCAAGCACCAGACACCUGAAGACACCUGAGACGACUAGAUGAAGCUCAUCCGAAGCACAAAGCUUAUAUUACUUACCUGAAUACUUAAACGAAAUGUACCCUAGAAUGCCGCCAGAUGAAGAACCAUUCUUUUCUUUUUUUGGUUGGCUUCUGGUUGUCUGCGUUGCUUGGUUUCGGCGGGUCAUGGGGGGCCUGCUGAAGAAAACGCAUUCCCAAAUACACUACAAUGCUGAACGCAUAAUUUCCAUGAAAAUUUAAAAUUUUAAAUAAAAAUUUAAAAAAACAUUGCAACAUGAACAACCUUAUCUGUGCCGUUUGUUCUGUAGUUGUCAUUUUGGGUAUUUAUACACUGAUAUUGAUGCCACAUUGCAGAGAACAGCUGUUUUAACAUCGCAAAUAAUACUUACAGUUGGUAGUGUAGUGCAAGUAAAUAAUAUCCAAGCCACUUGAAACAUCUUUAAACUCAUACAUACUGACAAUUUAAUAUCCGUCUCAGAGCAUUAUUUUGUUUGACUUUUUUCUACUUCGUUUUAUGUAGGCCUAGAUUAGCAUGUCGUUUAGCCUCCUCUGUUUGUUACGUAAAUACAGUACUUCCUUGAACAGGACGGCCCUCGCUCCAGACGCGCAUGCACACACACAUGCCCAAGCGCACACACGUCAUAGUUUGGUUUUGUUGCGUUGUCUUCGUUCAGUACAUAGUAACCAAAGAACAUACACUCUGUCUGAGAAAAGCAGAGGCAAUGCAGAAUUUAAACUAAACAAUGGACUUUGAUGGAAACGAAAGUAAAGCUUGCAGACACACAAUACAGGCUGCUGCAUGUGUGAGUUGCUGUCAGACAGGGCUAGACAGUUCAGGGUAUAGGACGAGGGCAGUGGAGUCUCCUCAGAGGAGGAAAGGGAAGAACCAUCCUCCUCAGUGAAUUUCAUAAAAGUAAAAAUUGUAAAACAUUAAAGUUAUCCUUUUUAGAUAAAGCUAUACUAAAUAUAUUCAUGUAACCAAAUCAUUUAUUAAAACUAUAUUUUUCAAAACAGG